rnacentral:rRNA from 1 species
UACAGAGGUCCCAAGCGUUGUUCGGAUUCACUGGGCGUAAAGGGUGCGUAGGUGGCCAGGUAAGUUCGGUGUGAAAGCUCGGAGCUUAACUCCGAAAUGGCAUUGAAUACUAUCUGGCUAGAGGGUCGGAGGGGAGACUGGAAUUCUCGGUGUAGCAGUGAAAUGCGUAGAUAUCGAGAGGAACACCAGUGGCGAAGGCGAGUCUCUGGGCAGUAACUGACGCUGAGGAGCGAAAGCGUGGGGAGCGAACAGG